rnacentral:rRNA from 1 species
CUACGGGAGGCAGCAGUGGGGAAUCUUGCGCAAUGGGGGAAACCCUGACGCAGCGACGCCGCGUGAGUGAUGAAGGCCUUCGGGUUGUAAAGCUCUGUGGAGAGGGACGAAUAAGUGUAGUCGGAUAGGCUGCAUGAUGACGGUACCUCUUUAGCAAGCACCGGCUAACUCUGUGCCAGCAGCCGCGGUAAGACAGAGGGUGCAAACGUUGUUCGGAAUUACUGGGCGUAAAGCGCGUGUAGGCUGCUCGGAAAGUCGGGUGUGAAAGCCCUGGGCUCAACCUAGGAAGUGCACUCGAAACUUCCGAGCUGGAGUUUCGGAGAGGAAGGCGGAAUUCUCGGUGUAGAGGUGAAAUUCGUAGAUAUCGAGAGGAACAUCGGUGGCGAAGGCGGCCUUCUGGACGAUGACUGACGCUGGGACGCGAAAGCGUGGGGAGCAAACAGGAUUAGAAACCCGGGUAGUCC